rnacentral:piRNA from 1 species
UGAAUUUUUGAAAAAGCCUUUGGCUCAAGGC